GAUGAACGCUGGCGGCGCGCCUAACACAUGCAAGUCGAACGAUUAAAGCACCUUCGGGUGUGUAUAAAGUGGCGAACGGCUGAGUAACACGUGGGCAACCUGCCCCUUUCAUUGGGAUAGCCACGGGAAACCGUGGAUAAUACCGAAUACUUCGAGACUUCCGCAUGGAAGACUCGAGAAAGCUCCGGCGGAGAGGGAUGGGCCCGCGGCCUGUUAGCUUGUUGGUGGGGUAACGGCCUACCAAGGCAAUGAUGGGUAGCUGGGUUGAGAGACCGACCAGCCAGAUUGGGACUGAGACACGGCCCAGACUCCUACGGGAGGCAGCAGUGGGGAAUCUUGCACAAUGGGCGAAAGCCUGAUGCAGCGACGCCGCGUGCGGGAUGAAGGCCUUCGGGUUGUAAACCGCUUUCAGCAGGGACGAGGCGAAAGUGACGGUACCUGCACAAGAAGCCCCGGCUAACUACGUG
rnacentral:rRNA from 1 species